rnacentral:rRNA from 1 species
GAGCUGCCGAGCUGGCAGAGAGGAGAGAGAGAGAGAGAGGGGGAGUGGUGGUGUAGUCGCCCCGGUGGGGGCCGGAGAAGAAGGGACGUAAACUAACUAGGCAGCGAACGGGCCAGCGGGCAGCUAGGCAAAUGGGCGGCAGGCGGGCAGGGGCCGUCGGCGUCGGCGUGGCGUCAACGUCCACCUGACGCUUACAGUAGCUACGUCAAGUCGUCGCACGACGGGGACCUCCCGUUUCGCACGUAGAGGGGGCAGUCCUCUCUCCCGAGGCGGAGGCUCGCGGAGUUCCAGCCCCUGUCGUCGUCGUAGUCCGUGCUCUCCCGGAGGUCCUCCUACACGUUGCCACCGUCCCCGGGGCGGCGGUGGCCGCGCGUCACGCACGAGUGGAGGCUGCGGUCGGGUCGUCUGUGGGAACAAGAGGCCUGCAGGAAGGCGUCCUUAAUGCGGCUAGGCUUGCUCCAGCGCCGGCAGUAUGAGCCGCCACCGUGGCCCUGAGUCGAGAAGGGAGAGUGUUCGUGUUCCCGGUGUGGACGACAAGGAUAACCUCCUACAAUGUCCGAGUAGCUAUAAGGGUACUCGUUGACGAAGUUAUCACCGUAGUUGUUCUAUAAGCAGUACUGCGUCAAGUUGAGCCGGAGAGAAUUAGCAGUGUAAGUGGCGUGGAUGGAGCCGCCCCCUUAGUUAAAGUGACUACCUAGACAACUCCAUAACCGGCGCUGCGUUUACGGGCCCCUCCGACGACCUACCAAGGCGCCUUGUCGCCUACGGCAGUCUUUUAAAUAGACCCACGAACUCCUGAUAAUAUUCUUAUUUAGGUAUCUCGUGUAAAACUAGAACAGCCCGCUAGUCGAAAUAGCGUACCUAAUGUACCUCGAACACGUCUUUGUACACCUACUGUUACGACUGUAAUGAAAUAGUACACGGGGACAACCUCUCUCGGCCCGUAGACUCAUGCCCGAUCACUUCAAGCUGUCAAGUCCGGCACACCAGGUUAAAAGACUCUUCGGUUUCCCACUGCUAGACCUUCGCUACUUUCACCUGUGGUCAAAAGAGUUAAAGCGGUAGCUGCUGGGACGAUUUAUAGGUAUGUAACGAAGAUACCCUCAGAUACAGAAGUUUUCUCUACAAGACGAGUUGGAAGAUUUCAGUUCUAUGCGUCUUGAUGUACUGAAACCCAGACUUUAGGAGGGCUCUCGAGACGUACUGGUGUUACAUGUCCGAAUACAGAAGUGACUGAUGACCCUCCUGUAACCUUGUUAGUCUAGGAAGAAGCUACGCUUGUACCGGGAGACGCUCGUCGGGGGUUUCAAGCUCAAAAUACUAGGGUUUUGAGGGAAGAAGUGGAGCGGAGCUAUGAACGGUGGUUGUUUCAGUCUGUUCACGUCCUAGUUUCUUCGCUAGUAAAGCGUGCCGACGAAGAACGCACUUACGUUUUAGCUCGUGAGGUAGUAGCCGCAAGCAAGUGCGGAUUUGAGGCCUUCGCUUGAGUUCUUGCGCUACUACUACCCACGCCUAAGCAUGCUCUGGCUCCUACUCUAGAGCUCCGACUACAGGCUCCCGUUCCAGGGGUAGCCGCAGCCCCUCUUGUGUUUCUAGUCGUUGACGUAGUAGCUGUACUUGCGCUCCUAUCCUUCCCUGCACCAGUAGAGUUUGUUCCUCCCUCACGUUCUUCGGCUGUCCGGCCUCCUCCCCAUGAUGUAGUCCAGGCCCUAGCACCACUAGGUCUUCUUGCGCUGGUAGUUCCUGCCGUGGCAGCACAUCUCGUGGCGGCCCAGCCGCACUGCCCAAGACGCUGUUGGAGACGCGACGCAACUAGCAGCAGCAGCAGAGCUCCGGGCCCUCCCUGACUUCUUCACUGGGCCCCUGCCCUCCGCAAACUUCGAACUUACUGACUCUUCCGCGCGCGCCCGUCGUAAUCAUCAUUCAUCAUCAUUCCUCGUCACCUUGUUUCAUUAUCAGCAAGCAAAAAGGGGACAUUAUUUAUUCUCCGACACACAACUCCAUUUCUUCACCGUCGCUCGUUUGUUUGAGGGCCCCCUACAAGCACAUUUAUUUUGAGAUAGAUCUGGACACUUUAAAAGU